rnacentral:tRNA from 1 species
GUUAUAUUGGCAGAGAAGUGCGGUGGGCUUAGGAUUCAUAAAUGUAUAUAUUACAUAUAAUA